GUACACUCCUGCGGGAGGCAGCAGUGGGGAAUUUUGGACAAUGGGCGAAAGCCUGAUCCAGCAAUGCCGCGUGAGUGAAGAAGGCCUUCGGGUUGUAAAGCUCUUUUGUCAGGGAAGAAACGGUGAAAGCUAAUAUCUUUUGCUAAUGACGGUACCUGAAGAAUAAGCACCGGCUAACUACGUGCCAGCAGCCGCGGUAAUACGUAGGGUGCAAGCGUUAAUCGGAAUUACUGGGCGUAAAGCGUGCGCAGGCGGUUUUGUAAGUCUGAUGUGAAAUCCCCGGGCUCAACCUGGGAAUUGCAUUGGAGACUGCAAGGCUAGAAUCUGGCAGAGGGGGGUAGAAUUCCACGUGUAGCAGUGAAAUGCGUAGAUAUGUGGAGGAACACCGAUGGCGAAGGCAGCCCCCUGGGUCAAGAUUGACGCUCAUGCACGAAAGCGUGGGGAGCAAACAGGAUUAGAAACCCGUGUAGUCCCAU
rnacentral:rRNA from 1 species